GGGGGUUUAGCUCAGUUGGUAGAGCGUCUGAUUUGCAUUCAGAAGGUCAGGAGUUCGACCCUCCUAACCUCCA
rnacentral:tRNA from 1 species